AAAAAAAAGUAGAGACUGGUUUGCAUCCAUUCAUGUAGAAUGAUAUGUCCCUGCAGAACAUCACACCGACUGCAAUCAUACAAUCAUACCUCACCUCACCUGCAACCUGGGGGAAAACACAAAAACCAUCCCUGCAACAUCCAGAUGGUGCAGCAAGAGGCUGGAGGGAAGAGAAACACUAAAGUUCCCUAACUGCGCAGAAGCAGCCAGAGACACUCUCCAAGAGCUACACAAAAGAGGCUUUGUCUCAGCUGAUGAGAGAUCCCUUUGAAGCUUGGGAAUCCUGACUGGCAGCAUUUCAUAUCUGGCCAUCAUAGGGUUGGAGCAAUGAAGAAUGGAAAAGAAGGAAAAGAUGGGAAAGGAAAAAGCAGGAAGGAGAGAAGGGACCACCAGCCAUGAUGCCUGAUCUGUAUGCAGUUCAAAGAUGAUGUCCAGUGACCAGCCACAGCACUUUACCAGGGCACUGUCAUGCUCACACACCUCCACAGUGCAUCUGUAUGGGACUCAGCUGCCUUCCACCUCACCCGUGUCCUCCUAGGAGGCUUCUAGGGGGCCAAUGCCCAUUCCCCUGGUUAGGAAGAGACUCUUUUGGAGUUGCCUUUCCCUUCCAUUCCCAAACAGAUGAUAUUCCUCUGGCCACUGAAGAAAUGGUUGUGAGGGGAAGUACACGAAGGAAGGUUGUCUAAUCCUUGAUUAGUGCUUUCAACUUUGCUCUAUUGUGUGAACACCUCUGGGGAAAAAUAAAAAAUAAAAAAUAAAAGAAAAAAAAUACUUCA